GCACUUGGUGUGCUCACCUACUGUUCAGGGCUCCAGGAGUGGCAGGCAGUGGGAGCUGCUCAGAACCACAUCGCUCCCUCCAUAUUCUUUUGGUCAAGGCAGCCACGGUACACCUCCCCACCCUGGGUUCCAGAAGAGGAAACAGAAGCUCCAAGAAGUGAAAUCAUUUACAUCCUCCGAGGAACCCAGCUGAGAUUGGAACGUGGGACUGCCUUAAGCCUUUUAUCCCUUUCCAGCACAUGACCCUGCUCUCUCAAGGAUGGGGCUGUGCCCUCAUCGUCUGUCUCGUUGGUCUCUCUCCGCACCGGCACGACAAUGUGGAGAAAAGGGGUCUCGUGGCCGCUUUGCACCCAGAGCGCCCUUUGGGGGUCUGAAAUUUUCAUGUUUGAGUGAACUCUCCAUCACCGAAGGACCUGGAACAGUGCCUGGCAUGGAGAAGCAGCUCCACAAACCAAUGUCGAAAGACUGAAUAGCAUAACCCCAGUCUGCAACUCUUAGUCCUCGACAGCUUCAAAUUAUGCGAUUAUUGAGGAAUUUUUAAUGUAGAAGAUGCAUGUUAUUUAUAGAAUUUCAUUGAUAGGUCUGGGGAUUAUUAAUAUUUAUGUUGUAUUUAAAAUACGUGUGAUUUUUAUUUACACAAAACAUAACCACAAAAUUAGACUAUUACAAUCUGGGGAUCCCUGGGUGGCUCAGCGGUUUGGCGCCUGCCUUGGGCCCAGGGCAUGAUCCCCAGUCCCGGGAUCGAGUCCCGUGUCGGGCUCCUUGCGUGGAGCCUGCUUCUCCCUCUGCCUG